CUGAUGCGGGGACCGGCGUACGGGUGAGUAACGCGUAUCCAACCUGCCCUUUACUAUGGGACAGCCCGUCGAAAGGCGGAUUAAUACCGUAUGUUGUCAUGUUGAUGCAUAUUUUCAUGACCAAAGGCUUCGGCCGGUAAAGGAUGGGGAUGCGUCUGAUUAGCUUGCCGGCGGGGUAACGGCCCACCGGGGCGACGAUCAGUAGGGGUUCUGAGAGGAAGGUCCCCCACCAUUGGAACUGAGACACGGUCCAAACUCCUACGGAAGGCAGCAG
rnacentral:rRNA from 1 species